rnacentral:rRNA from 1 species
UACGUAGGUGGCGAGCGAUGUCCGGAUUUACUGGGCGUAAAGGAUGCGUAGGCGGAUAUUUAAGUGAGAUGUGAAAUACCCGAGCUUAACUUGGGUGCUGCAUUUCAAACUGGAUAUCUAGAGUGUGGGAGAGGAGAAUGGAAUUCCUAGUGUAGCGGUGAAAUGCGUAGAGAUUAGGAAGAACACCAGUGGCGAAGGCGAUUCUCUGGACCAUAACUGACGCUGAGGCAUGAAAGCGUGGGUACGCAAACAGG